CUGGAGAUUUCACAUUUCCUGUGAUCCUGCGAUAGCAACACUUGAAGUUGUUAGGUUAUUUAGAAUAACUGGCAACGUAGGGAUAAAAAUUUCUGGUCUGUUUAUUGCACAAAUUAAUACGAAUAAUUCAUCUGACAUCAAUCUAGCCUUUAAGCAGCUUUCUUACUUUUCUAGAAUGCAGCAGUUCUGAGAUGAUACAUUCCAGCAGGAGGAAUUUACCCUCGUUGCAUUUUAAGUUCUAACUACUGGAUGGAGCUACACAAACACACAACUAUCAGUGAAUACUUAACACUUGUAACUGCAGCAAAAUACUACCCUGUAUUUAUUUGAGUUUCCCUGAGUUGGCCAACAACAGAUACUUCUUCAGAUACAAGGAAUCACAUAUCAAAGUGAUUUUCCCUACCUCCUCCAGUACAAAAAAUCCACAGCAGCUGAUGUAAAUAUGGCGUGUUUGGACGGGCAAAGACAUGAGGAGGAAAAGACACAACGGAAGACAAUGGGACUGCACAGCCGAUCAGUCAGUGUGUUUGUCAGGUGAAAGAGACGACUCAGGCUAUCAAAAGAAGCCCUCUGUGACACUACCACUAGCAGAGAACAGUGGAUGGAAGUAGUGCCUGAACAAUCUUUUGUCAGGUGGCCUCCCUAACAUGUCCAGCUCCAAGUGUUCAGAAUCUCCUGCAGCCAGCUAGCAGGUUUCAACAAUCACACCGCUAAUUUCUGCAGCAGGAGUUCAUAAAGCCUCUUGGGAGGAAGACAGCAAGCUGUGGAAUCCAAACCUGCUGAAAAAAAAUAACGGAUGAAGAGAGAGGGAUUUUUUUUUUUUCAUUCUGAAAAGCAGCAGCAGUUAGGCAUGGCUAAUAGUAUUGACGGUAGUACUUAAAAGAUUCAGUUGAGAUUGGGACUCUGAAAUUCUGCACGCUGUUUCUACAUAUGGUAAGAGACAGUUCCUGCUCAAAUGGCCUGGAAUCUAAACAGAGAAUAAGACAAAAGGGGACAGUGAAACACUGUGGUAUUAGCCCCAAGUUUAGGACUAGACUAGACUUCAUCAACAGAUGAAGUAACUUGUCCGAAUGCCUAGCAGACCUGGGAGCUGAACCCAGCCCAAUGUCUCCAUCACAAGAAAAACCAUUCUGACUCUAAGAGAAAGAAUCAUAUGGGUAACCUUCCAGGGCUUCAAAUAAGUAUGAAAUUAUAAUUCCAACAUUAAGUUUCUUAUUCAAACCUAAACCCCAAAUCCAAACCUCUCGAGGUUCUCUCAGCACUGUCAACGUGCCUGUCAGUACAUAUUCCAAACAGCAUGUGCGUUCAACACACAAUAGUGAUUGUUGUGGUAGGUGGUAAAAUAUGCAAUGGGUUGCAGUAGCAGGGAUUGUAUCCUCUAUCUUUUCAAUGUAAUUCAUGGCUCAUAUUUCAAAAACUGUUUGUAAUUAGAGUAAAAAUCUGACUUUGAUUAAUAUUUGCAUCCAAUCUAAUGCCUUCAUUUGUUCCAUAGUUUCAUUUUAAACAACUGUAUGCAAAAGAUUCUGAUUUUGUAUCAGCUGAAGUUUAGCAACUGCUAUUACUGAUUAUAGCCUUGAUGGAAACUUCUCAGUAGCUUACAAUAUUUAGUUACGAUAUUUCAAGAGACCUAAAGUAUUAUUAUAAAGAAGCAAAUCUAGGUUUGGCAAUGAGCCUUUCUUUUGUCUCCGAAAUUUUCUGCAGUAAAUUUAGAACAGAAAAUCAUUUCUUGGGAGUAAAAAUAUAUAUGUACUGCUGGCUACAAGUGUAUGUUUGCCGCUUCACAAUUUUAGAAUUAGAUGAUGGACUUACUUAGUAGACACUGGAUGGUAAAAAGUAAAAACCCCUAAUUUAAAACGUUCCACAUUGCCACAUUCCAAGAAAAACAUGGACCGGUGAACAAAACCAGCAGUAUUGUAAUAAGAAAACAACUAGGUGCAUUUUUUCCAAAACCUAAACCCAGGAAUCUAAAUGUAUGAGUUACUGGCUAAAAAUGCCAUUUUUGUGUCUCAGUUUCUUCAUGAACUGAAAAAACAGUCUAGACUUGAUAAAGCUAAAAACUAAGACUCCAAGUUAAGGUUUAGAACACAGUUCUAUUUUUAUAAUAAUCCUUUCUGAAUCUUGAUUCUUUUAAUUUGAAUCUUUUAACUUUAAUGAAAUGUGCCUUUUUCUUUAUAGGAAAUUUAUCACUACAGCAAUGUUUUAAUGUAAAAAUAAGAUUUUUUUGCUAUUUUUAAAAGAAUUAUAGUAAUUACUAAUAUAGUAAUUACUAAAACUUUAGGCUUUGUUAUCUGAUCUAGGAAAGGAGUCACUUCUGAGGUGAUCUACAGAAGACAACUGUUGACAUGUAACAUGAGCCCCAUUUCGGCAAGCUACAUAAGCCCCUGAUAAAUUGACAUCCAUUCUGAUUACACUCUACUGCUGAGUGUUGAUCAUAAGUCUAUGCUCAACUUUAAGCACAUGCUAAGAUACCACUCCAAGUAUCUGAAAAGUGAGCUUAAUUUGCAUGUUUUAGCCAAUCCCAGCUGUAAUGCUUGGAUAUGAGAAUGGAGCAUUGUAGGAAGGCAAAAGAGGGAGCAAACCUUAGCCAGAUUCUUGAAUCCCUUACAAAGAGUGUUUGAGUAGCUUCGCUUUGGCUUUUUAAAGGGCUUUGCAGGGCAAGAGAAAUGGUACCUGUGCGAGAAGGAAGGAUGGCCAUAGCUUCAGAGAUAUUUGUUCGAAUCCAAAGAAGGUCCUGAUAAAUGGAACCAGCGAAAAUUUGUUAUGAGAAGACUAGGGCAAGAUGUAGGGAACCUAAGAUGGAAUUUCUUACUUUCGGACAUCACUAUACAGCCUGGUGUAGUUUACUCUCUGCUGAACAGAAAGGAAAGAUUUGUAAUCAGAGAGCAGAUGGAUCAAAGCAGUCCAUGACUACAUGAAUGACAGAUAAGGAUGUCCAUAGAAAAGGGAGGCGGCAGCUGGGAAUGCUGCUGCAUCCACAUGGCUCUACUGCUACUCUUUCGGGAGGAAAAAUGUUUCUUUCUCCUAACCUCACAGAGCAAAACUGUGCAUAACAGACUUGUAAGGACUUUUGUCCUGUAAAAGUCCUGUGGCUCUAAGUAAUUUCUCCUACGCUUAAUCCUUCUUGCUUUAUUCAUGUGAAAGAAACAGGACAAGGGGACUGGAAUGCUACUCCACUUGUUCCUGCAUCUAUAUUGUUUAUCUGUGAUCUAUUUGCCUUCCCUUGCUCCUUUAUCUUUCACUGGCUCCUGGGUGGAAGAUGGAACUGGGUGGAAGUAGGACUGAACGGACUUAUUACUGUUAUUGUGUCUGAUGGACUGUCAUUACUGGAAGCCAUGCAUUUUGGGAAGUCUUCAUAUUCAGAAUGUCAUGGGAGAUACUCGGCAGUCCUUUAAACCCAGGAUACAACACUUCUGGAUCUGGAUUGCAUGAGGAGCAUUAGGACCCAUUCUGCAUGUCUGCCUUCCCGAUAGAUUGAUGCCCAGUUUAUCUCACUUAAAUCAACUGUUUCUGACUGGACCAAUUCCUGGAUGAGUUAAUUGAGCAUGGCUAAAAUCAAAAUGCUAGCCUAAUCAAGGAAACACGAAGAGGUGAUGACUAUGAAGAUUCUCAGCUUUCAGUAAAGGUGUUCAGUUGUUUACUUAUAUUCUCACAACAGAAGGAAAGUAGCAAGCUCAGCCCACUGGAAAUAAUUCUUGAUAAUCUCACUCCAUUACUUUCAGUGAAAUUGAGUCUGCUCGCUCUACCCUAGUGAACCAACAUCUCAGGGAAACAGGAAAACAGUAUCUCAUUCGUGCAGUACAAAGUAAGUGACAGAAGGAAAGGCAGACUGAAGGCUGUACGUCUUUAGUUUUCAAUUUGUAUUAGUAAUCCACCAUUCCUGUGUUAGCCUCUCAAUGGCUAUAUUCAGAACAAGAAAUCAGUGUUACUGGGAAUGCUGUUCAUUAGUACCAGGCAAAUGCUCUGCUGUCUUGCACACAUCACAGCUGUUCAUUCAUGUUCACUUUUCAGACUUGGAAAUACAAGUCUGGAAAAUGCUGUUGUCUUGUUUGACUUUUUUUUUUCCCCUCCUCCUAAGGAGUCCUCUUCUGAGAAAUGCAUGGUAAAAAAAGAAAUCACAGAUUGUUGGAUAUCUUAGCCAUAAAAGAGCGUAACGUUCUAUUCUCAGUGCUCUGAAUAUGCUCAUCUAUCACUUUCUGGGAUAUUGUUCAUAGACAGUCAGCUCAUGGGACCAUGCAUAGGAAACUACCGUCAUUGCAGUCUUUGUAUAUAAAAAAAUUGUGUGAUGGUCUCUACAGCUGAUGGCUGGAAGAGACUUUUUAUGGGUCAGUAGCUGUAUUGUGAAUAUUUUUGGCUAAUUAUUGGUUUUGUACAUGUGUAUAAUUAUACUACUGUUGAGUUCUGCAUUUUAAUAAACCUAAGUAAGAGGAGAAUCAGUGAUUC